AGUGGCUCAGUGGUUAGAGCACUUACCUGGCAUGCAGGGGGCCCUGGGUUUGAUCCUCAGCACUA
rnacentral:tRNA from 1 species